AGGUGCUGCAUGGCUGUCGUCAGCUCGUGUCGUGAGGUGUUGGGUUAAGUCCCGCAACGAGCGCAACCCCUAUUCUUAGUUGCCAUCAGGUUAUGCUGGGGACUCUAAGAAGACUGCCCGCGCAAGCGGUGAGGAAGGUGGGGAUGACGUCAAGUCAUCACGGCCCUUACGUCCAGGGCUACACACGUGCUACAAUGGCCGGUACAAUGGGCAGCCACAUGGCAACAUGGAGCUAAUCUUUAAAACCGGUCUCAGUUCGGAUUGAGGUCUGCAACUCGACCUCAUGAAGCUGGAUUCGCUAGUAAUCGCAAAUCAGCAAUGUUGCGGUGAAUACGUUCCCGGGCCUUGUACACACCGCCCGUCAAGGCCAUGGAAGUCGGGAGUACCUAAAGUCCAUAACCGCAAGGAGUGCCUAGG
rnacentral:rRNA from 1 species